CAACGAAAUUCAGUUGACGCAUGCAUUGGAAACCAUUCCUUUAAAACAAGUUCGAAAGAAAAAUCUUUAGGUACUGAACCAUCUGCAUUAUCGAAAUCUUUGCAAUCAUCAAAAGCAUGAUUAAGAUCAUGGGCAACAAAGUCGGACGACUUCAGUAAUAAUAAUACCUCUUCAGCUGUCGUGCAUUUUAAAGAGCCUGUUGUAGUAAUCCAUAGAGCAUCUUUAGGAGUUGACCAAUUUAGCUUUGGAACUACUGCUCCACCUAGCUCUUUAAUUGCUUUUUCAAUUAAUUGGAUAGCUUCUCUCUCGGGAUAAUAGGCUGGCGCAGAUUCCUCGUCUUCCUCACUAUCAACCUCCUCUACAGUAUUCAUAGGCUGUUCAACAUAUAUACUAUCUUCAUGCAAAUACUUAAGUACUGUAGCUGGGAUGGGCUUGAUUACUUUAGCUUUAGGUGUCAAUUUGCGAAACAAACUGUACCAGCUAGAAAACUGGCAAUGAAGUACUUGAUUCUUAGUAAGUAUUAGAGUCAUUUUCCGUAUUCAUCUAUGGCACUGAAGUUAAUAUUUUGGUGUCCCCAUAAAAUAUGCUUAUAUGUUGUGAAUGAACAACCAAGCGCCAAGUGCACAAAUAAACUAGUAUCUAGAAAAAUU